rnacentral:tRNA from 1 species
CAGGGAGUAGUUUAAUUAAAAUUUUAAUUUUGGAGAUUAAAGAUGAAGACUUACUUUCUCUCUGA